rnacentral:misc_RNA from 1 species
UAUCACUAAUCAAGCCCGGCUUGUUGUUGGACCUCUUGUCGUCGAAGACAGGCCCUAAAGAUAAUGAUGGUGUCAGUUGGACCCUAGAUGCAACGAGCUUUAACUAGCACGCAUUUUGGUUGGCCCUUUUGACCCGGUCUUUUUUAAACCAAAUUUUUCAGGUUGACCUCGGAUCAGGUAGGAAUACCCGCUGAACUUAA